rnacentral:tRNA from 1 species
GCAUUCGUGGUGUAACGGUAGCACACUCGGCGCGUAUUCGAGAGGUCCGGGUUCAAAUCCCGGAGAAGAUA